rnacentral:rRNA from 1 species
UACGUAGGGGGCAAGCGUUGUCCGGAAUCAUUGGGCGUAAAGGGCGCGUAGGCGGCGCAACAAGUCACUUGUGAAAUCUCCGGGCUUAACCCGGAGCGGUCAAGUGAUACUGUCGUGCUAGAGUGCGGAAGGGGCUACUGGAAUUCUCGGUGUAGCGGUGAAAUGCGUAGAUAUCGAGAGGAACACCUGCGGCGAAGGCGGGUAGCUGGGCCGACACUGACGCUGAUGCGGCGAAAGCCCAGGGGAGCGAAACGGG